ACCCGCCUGGGCCUUCCAAUGUGUUGGGAUUAUAGGUGUGAACCACGGUGCCCAGCCCCUCUGUGCUUCUGUAGGACUCUGAUUCUGUCCCUUCUACAGUACAGGGAUAUUGCUAACUGUACACUCAUUUGGGUAAAAUUUGAUUGAAGUUUGUCUCAUCAUUAGAUGGGAAACCCAUGAGGGUAGGAACCAUGUCUUUUUUUGUUUACCAUCAUAUACUGAGCAGCUGAGAGCAACUUGGUGCAUGAUCGACACUGGAUAAAUAUGUGUUGAUGAGUGAGUGGAUAUCAUUUUGAUGUAAAGUGUGUGAGGUACAGUGGAGGCUGCAGAGAUAAAGCCUGUUCCACCUCUUCGCCUGAGGAGUAUCUGGUAUCAUAGAGAACACAAUUAAAUAGUGCCAUAGGAGGAGUACGUGAGUGAAGCCACAAUUCACAGGAGGAUAGUCACUCUCCAUUAGUGGAGAAGCAAAGGCAUCUUGUAGGAGAUGCCAUGUGUGCCCUGGGCCUUGGAGAAAGAGGAGUUGAGUGAGAAGAAAUGGGAGGAAGAGACACAUGAGAUGGAAAGAACUGUGUGAGCAAAGGCUUGUGAAGUGCAGUGUGGCUUCAGGGAAUGGGAGUCACAUGGUUUGGCUGGAGUCCAGCCGCCUUGCAGGGAAGCAGUGGGUAGUAAGUUGGAAUGUAUGUCUCAGCCACAUUGUGGCAGGACUCCAGUGCCAGGCAAGGCACUUGGGGUUGGUUUGGAGGAAAAGAUAGGGGGGAGGUGUGAUCAGUCCUUGAGCAGAGAGGUAGUGUGAUCAGCAGUGUGCUCAAGAAGAUAGUGUCCAGUGCGGUUUGCAUGGAGUGUGGAGGCAGGAGCAGUGGGAGGGGGAGCAGGUAGGAGACGGAGUGUGGGAAGAAGAGGGCUUAAGGAGAAGCCCACUUACCUACGAGUGGGCUGUGUAGCGAGGAGAGAGAGCACAUGGAUGGGGCUUGGUCACUGACUAGAUGCAGGAGCCGGGGUAGAGGGAGGGGACAGAGAGGGUGAUGGGAUUUUGCAUCUUGGGCUUCUGAAACUUUAAUGAUGCUUUUAAAUGAAGGAACAUGGAAAACACUCAGCAUGGUCCUGGAUGUGUGGGAAGUUCAGUAAAUGUUAGUUCUCUCCCCAGUGCCAGAAAUCAGGAGCUCAGGCAGAGAAGCAGGUGGGAGGGGAGGGGGAAGGUGGAGGUGCCAGCACUGUAUUCAGGUGAUGAGACCCAGCAGCUGGCUGGAACGAGCAGGAGCAGAGUUGGCACGGGACAGCGGCAAGUGCCACCUUCACAGAGUCAUUGUUGAAAACAAGGGAGAGAGAAGGGGCUUGGGUAGAACCGGGGGACCAUCCCCCUUUCAGGGUUAGAGGAGGAAAAGCAGAAUGCAAGGGCAGAACAGUCAGAGAUAAAGGGGAAGGGCACCCAGAGGAUGGUGCCUUGCAGUCCUGGCUUCAUAAGACAGGUCUUCCUGCUGUAGAGGUGAAGGAUAAGAGGGCUGUUGGUGCCCUGUGGGUGGGAUUGGGUCUGGGGUCGGGCCUCCAUUUCAGCCAGCCAUCUUUGUUACUCAUGUUCCCUGACCACAGACCUCAUCCCCAUCCCUAGUGGGGGGAUGAGAGGUGGCCAUGUAGUAAGUGCCCACCUCUCAUGAGGUGGUAUGGACACAUCAGCACAACUUCAGUGCUGGCUUCAGUGACUUGCCAGGAGCAGUCAUUACAUCCAUACUUGCAUCAUACUUGCCAAAUUGCACUGUUCGCCCCUACUGCAGAGAUGGUGGAGAGUGGUUAUAUCAGCAUUAUUUUUAUAGGACCAGCCAUACUAAUGUUGAAAGGUCAGGAGCCUUACUUAAAAUUCCUGGACAGAACCUGAAAUCUACUUGGAGUUUGGGUAAUCAGAGUUUUAGUUGUGAUUGAUUUGUGAACUUUGACAGGUUUGUUGUCUUCUCUGAGCUUCAGGUUUUGGAAAUGAGAUAUGAAUAAUAGGGUGUCAGAACAGGUUCUGGGCUUGUAAUUAAGGUUCUGCUUUCUCUUUCUUAGCAUGUCAUCCAGUCCUAACACCAGGAAUGUAGUUUCUGUUCCAGUGUUUGUUAGAAGUUGAGACAGCUUGGGUAUUGGCAGGCUUCCUUAGUUCUGCCUGGCCUAGAAGUGUAUCUUUCCUUCCACUGUGCCAUGUGGGACCACAAAGGAGAGUGCCAUGUACCAAUUAUUGUAAAAACAAGUCACUGUGGUUUAACCCUCUGUCUGUGAUCUGGGUCCAAGCCAGGCUCCACUGGGCCUUGUUCUGGCCAGCCAAGCAAUGCCCUGGUCAGGUGGCACAGCUUCUCCCCCAGCCUCUUACCUCUGCACACCCUUAUUUCUUGGUGCUGUGCCCAUAGGUGUGGCAUUGCUGGCUGGGGUGAGGGACUAGCACAGGAGACAGGGCUGUCAGAGGGAGGACCUUUUGGUGUCUGCACCAUUUGCUGUCAUUCAGACAGUAGGUCUACUUGGGGUCUCUAUCCUGUCUUUAAUAAAAAAGCAAAGUAGUGAGAUGGCUCAGACUCUGCAGUUUGGAUCCUUUAUUUAUCAGCUAUGUCACCUUGGAGAUCACUUAGUGUUUCCGAGUCUUCAUUUCCUCAUGUAUAAAUGAGGAAAAUGACAUUACCACCUUCAUGGGGCUCUCAGGAAAAGCAAAAUGAAGUAACAAUUGUAAAGAGCCUGAUCCACGUGCUAACAUACACAGUGACUGUACGCUGUGUGUGUUGUCAUUGUUUCCCCACCAUCAGCAGAAGGGAAGAGCUCCAGGGACCCUCCUGUUCGCUCCUUCUUGUGGCACCUCUCACCUGGAGUAAUGUGGAGGGGACCCACAUUAGAAUCCCCCUUCCCUGCCCCUAUAAUAAAGUUCAAGCCCUACUGUCUUUUGAGGUGUGUCUGGGAAGGGUGCUCACCCAACUUCCAGCCUUCCUUCAACUCCACCUGGACAUUGGAGCCAGAGCUGUGCAGCACAGUGAGUCUUAGGGGUGAUUUGGUUGCAAGGAGAAACUGCCUGCUCAAACCAGCUAAAUAAAAGUUUAUUGCUAGGGUGCUGGGAUGUCUCUGUACCUACUUUUUCUCUAGGACAGCUGGUGUCUUCUCUUACUUGCCUCUAUGGACUGGUUUUCUGCCUCAGCUUGCACACAAGGCGGAAGGAGGCCACCCUAGUCCAAUUCAAAAACACCCCUCAGCUUGCAUGUCCAGUGUCUAUUAACAAGCUCCUCUGUGCCCUAAUUACAAAUUCCCCCAAAGAAAAGCAGAUUGACCCCCCAUAGGUCAGAGGUCCACCAUGGUCCCUGCAGUGGGGAGUCUGGGCUGUGGGUGGGUGGGCAUGUUUCAUCUCACUGAUGGGGCAAACAGGUCACAAAAAGGGCACCUGGACAAGUCAGUCACACCCACAGGUGGCAUAAUUUUCUGGCCUUCUGGCAGGAGGGAAAGCCCUCUCCUCCCAUAGCCUACUCUGCCAGGCAUAUGCAGCCUGAGGCUAUUAGGCCUUCUGGAGUUUACCAGAAUAGACAGCCCUCUGCAUCACAGGCCAUGCGUGCCUCAUAAAAUCCCCAUGUGGUUCCAGAUCUCUGGAUUACACAAACCGAUGUUUCCUGAACAGGAAGAGUAGUCAUAUGUAGGUGAUAGGGGAGAUGAUUUUAGGUGUACAGUGACACAAUAUUUUAUACUGAUAAUUAUAUGCUUUAUUUGGAAAACUUAACAACUAAGGAUCAAACCCACAAUUUCACAAUCAUUACACAGAAAAUGUCAUUAUAGAUGUAAGUAAUAAUGAGUUUCUUAUAAAAAUUUACGUAGUAUGGACUUGAGUUUUUUUUUUUUUUUAAGUGAAGGUGGGAUGAUUGAAUGAUGAAAGUUGAGAAGCCCUGACUGGUGUUGCAUACACCAGAGAUUCUUACCUGUGAACCCAUGGGAAGACUUCAGGAAGCCUGUGAAGCCCUUGAAGUUGUAGACAACGUUUCGGAUUUACUUACCUUUCCGCCAUCGUUUGUGGAGGAGGGAGAGUGAGUCAUUGCUUGGUUUAGAAAUUUAGUGUUGGAACUUUCUGAGGGUUAUUUAUUAAAGAUUCCAAUUUCCUUCCCAAGAGAUUUUGAUGUAGCCGUGGAAAUGGAACCCACAAAUGUGCAUUUCACGUGCAUUUAGAUGACGAGUGCAGGUGGUUCUCAGACCUCACGUUGAGGAACACUGCUUAUCAAGAGAUUCAGGAGACCCCAACGUUGAGAAUUCAGUUCUGACCCAUCCCAACUUCCUUAGGAUUGUUGUGCAGUGGUUAAAACUUUCUUGUCAAGAAUUUUUGAGUUCUUUGGACAAAAGGUUUCUAGAUAAAUUUAUAUCACAAAUUAUUAAGGAUUUCUUAGUAAGGUCGCUGUCUUUGAUCAGUCAUUUUGUUGUUGGGUUUGAUCUUUUUAGUCCAAGAUGCUUAAAAAAAA